rnacentral:rRNA from 1 species
AUUGAACGCUGGCGGCAUGCUUUACACAUGCAAGUCGAACGGUAACAGGCCGCAAGGUGCUGACGAGUGGCGAACGGGUGAGUAAUGCAUCGGAACGUGCCCAGUCGUGGGGGAUAACGCAGCGAAAGCUGUGCUAAUACCGCAUACGAUCUAUGGAUGAAAGCGGGGGACCGUAAGGCCUCGCGCGAUUGGAGCGGCCGAUGUCAGAUUAGCUAGUUGGUGGGGUAAAGGCCCACCAAGGCGACGAUCUGUAGCUGGUCUGAGAGGACGACCAGCCACACUGGGACUGAGACACGGCCCAGACUCCUACGGGAGGCAGCAGUGGGGAAUUUUGGACAAUGGGCGCAAGCCUGAUCCAGCAAUGCCGCGUGCAGGAAGAAGGCCUUCGGGUUGUAGACUGCUUUUGUACGGAACGAAACGGUCUGGGUUAAUACCCUGGGCUAAUGACGGUACCGUAAGAAUAAGCACCGGCUAACUACGUGCCAGCCGCCGCAGUAAUAC